rnacentral:lncRNA from 1 species
AGCCUGAGGCUGGAUACCCCCGCUGGGCCCGGAUGACCCCGCUGGGCCCGGAGCAUCCUCCGGCGCUGCCCUCCCAGAGCCACGCAGAGGCUGAGGUGGCGCGGGGGCGGCCCCGGCUCCGCGAGAAGCGGCGGCAGCGAGGGCUGGAGGACCCGGGCUGCGGGGCUCCGGGGCGUCUGGCCUGGGUGGGACUGAGCCCAUCCAGGGACUGGGACUCUGGGAUUCUGGUGUAGGUGGAUCCGGGGCAGGCUCAGGACCAAGUCCCUCUCCUUCCACCAAGGAGCGCCCAGAGGCCGGCGGGAGCUCCAGGUUCACCUCCUCCUCCUCCAGGAAAUCCCACUUCCAGCUAGAUGUCUGCAUGAACUACUGAAAGCUGCUGAGUGUCUUGCAGCAGGUGAGCUGUGGCCAGAGCUCAAGGAUGAAGGGGACUCCCUCACUCUGUGACUGUGAAGAGGAAGCCUGAGGUGUAGCAGGCCCAGGCCCCAGAAGUAUGGAAAAAAUGAGGUUUGACAGAAUUCAUGUUGCUGCCAUAGAGGGGCUCUUUUCAAACUGAUGUCUUAAAUCUUGUUCACGCCAUUUUCAAUCCAGAGGAAGACCUUCUAAAAGAGGUGAUGGAUGGGAGAGUGCUGACAUACUAUGUGAAGCUACUAUUUGGAGUUGGACACGAGUGCAUGUGACCUUGUGCCACAGCGGGAAUCUUGACUACCACACAAAUGAAUCCAUUCAAAUGUUGGCAAGUGGAGCAGAGUCCCAGGACAGGUAAAGCACUUUCCCUGCUUUUUCUUAAGAUCAAUCCCCAUGCCUAGAAAUUAAAGUCACAUCCCACAUGAUCAUUAAAGUAGAGAGUGCAUUCUACAGGAUGAGUGAAAAGGCAUUUAUGAUUCUUGGGGGCAGAUGUUCUACAGUUGCCUGUGCUAGUUCAUGUCUUUCUGCAGAUCACAUUCUUAACCUCUAGAGAGUCUGGCAGGACCAGAGCCUUACCUUUCCCAGUCUGCAAUCUCUACAGGUACAGAAACACCCCCAGUUCAAGAAUCUUCACAUCUGAAUUUAGUCCUACACCUGCAACUACCCCAGGUAAGUUUCCUUGUUCUUCAAUGGCAAAGUUUGGACAAUGCUGUUCAAACUCCAGGCAACAAGCAACAUCUAGGGAAUGUGCUUUUAGGUAGGGUCAGCAUAAUAUCCCACCCUGGAAGACAUUUUUAUUUUAAAGUUGUAGAGGGUGAUGCUGCUGGCGGCUCCCUCCCAAUUAGCACCAUUUGCAGCCUCUUUUGAAGACAGAGAACUGAGGGCUGUCCUUCAAAUGGAGCAGUGUGAUUCCAAAAAAAAGAGAUGCUCCUUGUGGUCCUGGGACCAGGGAUAGGACUCCAGCUGAGCCUGGUGGAAGAGGUCCACGUCCUAGCCCAACGGAGAGCCAUGCAGCUGAGCUUGGGCGAUGUGGUCCACGUGGUUGUUUCUGAGUGUGUCCUGAGGUUGCUGGAUGGCUUGCAGUUCCCUAUGCAGAUCCAAUGCUUCUUUUGCUUUUUUGGUUCUGCAACCUGGAAUUUAUAUGUUCAAGAUGGAGCCAUCUCAGCCAUGACAACAGAGAAUGUACCACUCUCACAUGAGGAAGAGGGGUAGGAAGUGCUCCUGUAUCACCAGCCCUUAAUGAGACCCUGAGGAAACCACAUCAUGGAGAUCAGCCCUUCUCUCCUGUAAGGAACUCAUCCUAUGAAAGAGCAAUUAGUGCCUGCAAGAGCUGUCUCUGGGACAGCUGUUCAUGUCUAUAUCUGCAGGGUAACCCUCAUAGUCAUAUGCAGUCAUAUCCAUAGUCAUAUCGGGAGUCAGACUCCAGUUUGACUGAGUGAAUGGAGAAACUAAACAUUUAUUACUGAAUAAUAACAUUAAUAAACCAUCUUAAUGAUAGUAAUAAUAAACAUAUUGAUGAGUAU